rnacentral:sRNA from 1 species
UAUUCUGCCCCAUGGGGAAGGAUGAGAAGCUUCGACUAAGGUUCGACUCGAGCGAAGCGAGAGAACGUUGCCGCAGGCAACGGUCCGAAGGGCGAGGCGCUUUAGCGCCGAGUAAUCCUUCCCCCACCACCA